rfam:Leersia perrieri chromosome 12, whole genome shotgun sequence.
UUUGGAUGGGACACAUCCUAGUACAACGAAUCUGGACAUGAGGCAUGUCCAGAUUCGUUGUACUAGGAUGUGUCCCAUCCAAA